CAGCGCGCCACCUCCUUUCCUUCACGUAUCCCUCUAUGGCUUCGGCCACCGCUCCUGGCACCAGCCUCCCGUUAUCAAUGAAUGAUUUUCCGAUGUGGCGGCCUAGGACAACUGCGUCCUCCAGGGCUGCACAACCACCCUGGCCUAGGUCAGGGGUCAUUGGGUGCAUGGCAUCACCUACCACUGUCAUGUUCCCUUUGCUUACAUUUCCAAAUAUGAGGUCCCAUGGAAGUCUCAGCCUCAGUGGAGCCAAAGUCAAGGUAGAAAGAUCGCAGUGGCGGACCACUUCAGCGUAUAUUGGAGGGAGGUCCUUGGCAUAAUUCUCAAUCACUUGUUUUUGUAUUUCUUGCGGGUCUUUUGUCAUGGUCUCACCUGACAUCAAAAUGAUAUCAUUUAUGUUUAUAAAGCAAGGACAAUAAUGUGAGUAAUGUCAUGAACAAAAAAUUUCCAGCCAAGCCACAGUGUUACACCGGCUUGGAAUUGCCACUAGUGACCUGAAUUUUACUCAGAGAUAUUGGCAUAAAGUUGUGGCGAUAACAAAACCAACCUUUAGGAGUAUUGAAAGUGAGGAACCAGUAAAUAUCUUUAUCAUUUAGAGGGACGAUGCCAGCCCUUUUGCCCACAUCCAAAAAUUGCAGCACAUGCUCACGCACGCCAUGACCCUCUGGAAACACCGCCAGCGCAACCACAGACGAUCGACCUGAGUUCACCGGCUCGGUCAGUCCCAAUUUACGAGCCACAAACGAGUUCACCCCAUCACACCCUAUCAAAACCUGUAACACCCAAAAAUGAAAAUUCUGGCAUUAAAAUGAAGAAUCUAUAGUAAUCACCAUUAUGUGAUGCAGAUAAGCCAAUGCACAUGGGGCUCAACAUGGGCUGACGUUACAUACCUUGGUUGUAAUCACAGUUCCAUCUUCCAAGCGUAUGGUAUAUGGACCUUCUUGGGCCUGGGCUUCAAUGGAGAUGGGCUUGGAUGAGAAUCGGAUCGAGUGGCGUGGCAGCUCCUCUGCCAGACUCUCGAGUAACGCCUUGCGAUGUACUGUGAUGGGUCCACCUCUGCUUCAGAUUUGACAACCAAUCAGAUCAUUCCAUAUUCAUUUUAAGUCACGGCGAUCAUCCAAUGGGCUCACCCCAGUGGACUCACAAGUCAGAAGUCGGUGGAAGUUAACAUAAACCGGAAGAUACUAUCGAAUAAAUAGAGGUAUUUAAUUUUUCGCAUUCUUACCUAUUGUUUCUAAUGAGGGAGACUUCUUGGACCGCUCCAGUGGCAACAUUUGUUAUGCACAUCCUAGUCACAAACAAAAACAUCAAUUUAUAAUAAUCACAACAAUUCUUAUCAUUUCUAAAUAAAAUCUGUUUUUGUAUGAACAUUUUUCUUGUUGAUAAAAAAAAAAGAAGAAGAAGAAGAAGAAGAAAGGAACAAAUGAUAUAGGAGGAAAAUGAAAGAAUAAAAAUCAUACUUUUCGCGGACGGCAUAGAGGGGAGUGAGUUUAUGGGCGACACCCAGGGCAUCAAGAGCGAGCCAAGCAUUUGGGGCGAGGGUGAGAGCAGCACCAGAGACUCGGAGGCCAUCAGAUCUCUCCAGCACCAAUGCCCUAAUCCCCACCCUUUUGAGCGCGAUCGCGGUGGCCAGCCCAGCUAUUCCUGCCCCCACUAUCACUAUUUCUUCCUCCAGUACCAUCUUCUCCAUAUCUCUCACUUCUCUUUAAUUUUCUAUCUUGCAUAAUCAUACCUCUCAACUUGCUCUAUCCUUAUAUACACACUCGUAGAAGAUUCAAGCUUGAACUGCACGAAGCCGUCAUAUUUGACCAAAUGGUUGGGGAGAGGUUAUUCCACGGUUUGAUGCAAGUGCGUAAAGGACACGUAUGGUCCAAUAUUGCCAAGAGCACUUGUACAAUUUUAACAUGGCCACUUUCCGACCUCAAUUGACAACCGUGGGUCAACAUAGUUUCUUGUUUACAUUUUUAUUUUUUUUUAUUUUUAACAUUAGUCCAACGUGUCGUGAAAGGACUCAAUUUCUUAAAUGGAAUAUAUUUCUUUUAUUCAAUUCCUUAAAUGAAAUAUAUAUAUAUAUAUUUUUAUAUAAAAGGAAUAUUAUUAUAAUUGUUUUCCUUAGUUUAUGUUUGGAUUAUUUACAAUGAGAAAUAUUCAGAAGUUUACAUUAAAUUUCUUUGAUUAUUUGUUUGUCAGGAAGUUCUAAAUAAAAAAAAAUAUUAGGGAAAAUAAAUUUUUAUAUUUGACUCUAUCAUAAAAAAUAUAAACAAAAAAAUAUAAUUAAAAGUAGUAAACAAUUUAUAUAUUUUUAAUUAUUUAAUUUUUAUAUAAAAAAUUAAAAUAAGUGAAAUUUUGAAAUGAUAUAUAAAAAUAAUUUAUUAACUUUAAAUCUCUUUUUUUUUUCUUUAAUCAUAUUUUCUUUCAAAUUUUUAAAAGCCAAAUUAAUAUUAUAAAACAAAGAAAUUUCAUAGAAAUAUUUUAGGGAAAAAGUUAUGAAUGAUGUUAAAAUUUAGUAUACUUUUAGAGCUGGGGCACGCUCCUGGAAACCGGUCUUUUGAGACUUUUAGGUUCUCUGUUUUUUCACCCUUUUUUGACCUUUCCACCCUUCUGGAAAGUGGGCUGGCAGGGUGACACGUAGUAGGGGAGAGCUUUUUGAAUUUUGCUUUUGACAUAUUGAAACUGCAUUUCUUCCUUCUCCUUCCACCCGCACACCCAUCACCGUCGACCCAUUGCCGGCGAAUUUGCCGUCUGCCACUCCGUCGGCCACUUCUUCGGCCAGCGGCACCCCCUUUCUCCCUUCCCUUUUUCCUUCUUUCCCUAUUUCUCUUUUCUCUCUCCAUUCUACCCACCAUACCCAUUUUUCCUUUCGUCCAACUACUGCUGCUACUCACUGCCGGCCAGCGACGUCAUGGCAUCAGUGCGGCUCAUGGCUCGACCUUGUUGCCGAUGCCCACGGUUGCCCCCACCAAGACCCAUACCUCCAGUUUCUAUUUUUUUUUUAAAUAACUUUUUAGAAAAUAAUAAUAAAAGAUGAAGGAUGAGAGAGAGAGGCCAUUUUGAAUAAAAGAUUCAAAAGUGGGCCAAAAUCCACUUUUGUUUGGUUAAAGAAGUUAUUUUUAACCCAAUCUGAAGCUGGUUUUUAAGAGAGCUGUAGGAGUUUGGGUUAAAAAUAAUCUCUUUAACCACCAUCUUUUAAAUCUUUUGUUCAAAAGGUCUCUUUCUCUCCCAGCAUCUUUUAUUAUUAUUAUUUUUAAUUAUUUUUUAAAAAAUUAUUUAAAAAAAAUAAGAAUUGAAGAUGGAGGUGUGAGUCUGGGUGGGGGCAACCGUGGGCAUUAUCAGCAAGGACGGCAUGACAUCGUUGGCUGGUAAUGAGUAACAAUCGGAGUUUGAGGAAAGGAAAAAUGGGUAUGAUGGAUAGGAUGGAGAGAGAGAAGAGAAAUAAGGAAAGAAGAAAACAUACAAAAGGAGAAGGGGUUGAAGUCGACUGAAGAAGGGGGAACAGAGUGGCCGAUAGUAACGUCGCCAACGAUGGAUGGGUCCAUGGUGAUGGGUGUGCGGGUGGAAGAGAAGGAAGAAAUGCAUUUUUAAUUUUAAAAAAUAAAAUAGAAGAAGGCUAAUUUGAACAAUUGUUUCAACACAGACCUAAAGUUGAUUUUUUGUUUCGAUCAAAAGCUACUUUCACCCAAAAUUCCUGUAGGAGGCCUUUCAGAGGGAGACACGUGAGGGGAAAGAAUAUUCUCUAUGGAGAGGUGAGCUGUGAGCCUGUGAGGAGGUUCGAGGGAGCAGGUUUUGACAGCAAGCUGGUUGCUAGAGAGAGGCACACGUUUAGAUAGGAGAUGGCUCCUUCUGUUGGGUUGUGAAUGAGAGGAAAACAAAACGAGAAGAGUAAGAGGAUUUGAGAGAGAAGGAAAACAAACCAAUUUUAAACUAAGUGGUGUAUAUUUUUUUUGAUUUUUUGGUGAAAGCAAUUUAUUUUAAGAAUUUGAGUUGUUUAUUCUUUUACUUUUUCAUAAUUUAUUAUAAAUUUUUUAUUAAAUAAAAAAGUCAAAAUAUAUAACUUUUUUUUAAAUAAAAAAAUAUUAUAUUGAUUUUUCUUUACUUUUUAAUACUUAAUAAAAAUAAAAUACUAUAAAAAUAAACAACCUAAUAUUUAAUAAUAUUAAACAUUAAAGUUCUAUUUAAAAUUAAGUAAAAAAACAAAUACCACUUAAGACUACGAUGAUGUUUAUAUUUUAAUUUAAUAUUAAAUGUAAUUUACCUUUAGAUUUUAAAUGAUUUGUUUUUAAUUUUUUUUACUUAUUACUUAUUUUUAAAAAAAAAUUGAUUGAAUAGAAAAAUCUAAAAUAUUUUAUUUUUUGCUAAAUACUAAAAAAUAACCUUUUUAAAUAACCAAAAUACAAUCAUGAUCUAUUAAUACUUAACAAAAAUAAAUAAUAAAAAAACAACUUAAUACUUAAUAAUGUUAAGUUGUAUUUAAAGUUAAAUUAAAUUUUAUUUAGAUUUAAGUAAAAAAAAAACAAACAAAUACCACCUAAAUUUGUCCAUUUGCACAGGACUUAAAAUAAAGAUACAAUUUUUCUUUCAUUUAUUAUGCUUGUUAAAUCACCUUAUAUAGUCAUGGUAAAAAUGGUUGAGGAGGUAGAAAAUUUUCAAUUUGAUGGGAAGAUGUUUUACACGAGGUAGAAAAUUUUCAAUUUGAUGGGAAGAUGUUUUACCCUAUAUACGUUUACAAUUCUAUAAUAAUAAUAAAUAAAUAAAUAGAAGAAAGAAGAAAAAAAAAGAAUAAUUUGAUAUUUAUAUAAAGUAUGUCUUCACUAUGUUUUGAGACAAGCUUGGUGUUUUUUUUUUUUUUUUUUUAACGUAAUUUUAAAUAGAAUUUAAUACUAAAUAAUAUUUAAUAGUGUUAAGUACUACUAAGCUGUUUUUUUUAAAUAUUUUAUUUUAUUAAGAAUUAAUAGUUAAAAAAAAUCUAAUAGAUUCAUUUUAGUUAUGGUGAUUUACUUUUAGUAUUAAGAAAAAGUUAGAUAUUUUAAUUUUUUCUAUUUCAUCAAAAAAUUUAAGAAAUGAGUAAUAAGUUAACAAAAAAGAAGAAAAAAAAACAAUCUGAAUUUUGAAAGUAAAUUGAUUUUAGCAAUAAGUUAAAAAAACAAAGAACAUCAAAGUGAUAUUUAUUUAUUUAUUUUUACUUAAUUCUAAAUAGAAUUUAAAACCAAAUAAUACUUAAUAGUAUUAAUUAUUAAGUCAAUUAUUUUUUUAAUAUUUUAUUUCUAUUAAGUAUUAUGAAGGAAAGAAAAACUAGUAGUUUGCUUUUAACAUUGAGAAAAAUAAAAUAUUUUGAUUUUUUCUAUUCAAUAAAACAAAAUUUUAAAAAUAAGUAAUAAAUUAAAAAAAAAAAAUCAAAACAAAUUACUUUCAACAAAAAAAAUUAAAAAGACAAAAAAUACCUUGUGCAUAUUUAUCCCCACUUGAACCUUGAGGGUAAAAAAGGACAAAAGACACAUAUAGAAUUACAAAGAAGGAGAUGCGUAAAAUUGUUAUGGUAAGAAUCAAAUUCAAUCAUUAUAAAAGAGCAAUCAAGUAUUAAUAAUAUUUGAUUUUUUUAAUUUAAAAAAUAAUAUUUAUUUUUCUUAAUUUUUAAGAUAUUUAUUAUUCAUUUCUUUGUAUAAUUGAUAAAUCUAUAAAUUUAUGAAAAAUAAUAAUAAAAAAAAACCUCUUUCAUUGCCAAAUUAUCAAACUUUUCAAAUUUAAUAUAAUUUAAUCUAAUCUGAUUCAACAUAUUUAUUAAUAAGAUAUUAUAGUUUAACUUGGACAUUAAAAGAGAGCAUAUUUUGAAUCUUCCUAAAGCAGCGGUGCCAUUUUUUGGAAACUUUGGUUUGAUUUUUCUUAUUAGAUGUGAUUUUGUCGGGUUCUUGUAAGUUUCGUGGCAUGAGUUUCUCUCUCUCAUGCAUUAUACCUGAAAACGACAUCUCAAUUCUUCAAUUCGAAACAAACCAAAGCAUGAUUUAUUUCAAAAUUCAGAUGGGAAAAGAAAAGUUCAAUAGGUGGAAAGAGAAGUGAGGGGUCCCACCAUAGCCACCCCCACCAAAGGGGAACACCUGAUUCCCCAGAGUCAGAUAAUUACAUCUUCACUGCAAGACGGCCAAGACCCCCACCAAGUCCUAAAUGCUUGCCUGCUUGAGAUAUUCCAUUCUGGCAUAUAUAUAUAUAUAUAUAACUGUCAACGUACCCAUUUAGCAAAGAACUGGUAAAAUAGAACAAAAUUCAUAUCAGAAGGGCUAAAACAAAGACCAAAAAAAAAAAAAAAAAAUGACAGAAAGAAAAUAAAUCAAAUGAAGCUAUUGAAUCUUAUUUUGGUCAUCCAGUAGAGGGAGCUUCCCACAGUCAUAAUCUGCAAUGCCAAUAAGCCUCUUGAAAAGAAACCUAUAGAAUAUCACAUCUCUGAACAUCUUCAUCAACCAUCCUUCCCCACGUAACUGCGCCCACCCUGAUAUAUAUGACCCCGUUAUCAACCAAGCGGUGCGCCACCUCCUUUCCUUCACGUACUCCUCUAUGGCUCUGGCCACCGCUCCCGGCACCAGCCUCCUGUUAUCAAUGAAUGAUUUUCCGAUGUGGCGGCCUAGGACAACUGCGUCCUCCAGGGCUGAACAGCCACCCUGGCCUAGGUCAGGGGUCAUUGGGUGCAUGGCAUCACCUGCCACUGUCAUGUUCCCUUUGCUUACAUUUCCAAAUAUGAGGUCCCAUGGAAGUCUCAGCCUCAGUGGAGCCAAAUUCAAGGUAGAAAGAUCGCAGUGGCGGACCACUUCAGCGUAUAUUGGAGGGAAAUCCUUGGCAUAAUUCUCAAUCACUUGUUUUUGUAUUUGUUCUGGGUCUCCU
rnacentral:lncRNA from 1 species